rnacentral:rRNA from 1 species
GACGUAGGGCGCGAGCGUUGUCCGGAUUUAUUGGGCGUAAAGAGCUCGUAGGCGGCUUGUCGCGUCGAAUGUGAAAACUCGGGGCUCAACUCCGAGCUUGCAUUCGAUACGGGCAGGCUAGAGUUCGGUAGGGGAGACUGGAAUUCCUGGUGUAGCGGUGAAAUGCGUAGAUAUCUGGAGGAACACCGGUGGCGAAGGCGGCAUCCUGGACCGGCAUUGACGCUGAGGCGCGAAAGCCAGGGGAGCAAACGGGG